UCUGUUGUUUGGGUUACAUCCCUGUACGCGUUUGUUUUGGGCUUUGUCCCCGUGCCUUUUCAUGGCAUGUUGUCUAUUUUUGGUGGAGUAUUAAACCCCCUAUUACGGAUUCCUGUGCCUGUCUCCAAUCAUGUAUACAACGUGACAUAUCAUGUGAAACUACACAUUAUCUUGUGGGAAUCUGCAGAAUGUUAUUACAUUCAGGAGAAGGAUGCUGGUGCCCCAUCCACCCGACCCACAGAACCAACAACUCCAAUACCGAAAAUUGCAGCCGGUAGCAACAAGAAGAAGCGCUGCGAUGUGUAUGGACCCAAGAAGGACAGGAAGACACAGUACACAUGCAUCAAGCGCAAGAAAUACAUUUGCAACACACACACAGUAAAACUCUGCCCCUCAUGUGGUGUGUAGCCUGGCCUUAAUUUGGUUCAAUUGGGCUCAUUUCCAUAAAACACUAUGUAAUAUUUGUCUUUCCAAUUUGUUCAGUUCAAACAAUAAACAUAAAUCGUGAUGAUAAACCUUGAUUCAUUUAUAUUUGUUCAAGAUAAACAUGAUUUAUUCCACACGUCUUGAGUAUAAUACAUUUUUGUUUACAAAAAUC
rnacentral:lncRNA from 1 species